rnacentral:lncRNA from 1 species
GAGUUUCUAUCGAGGCCGAGGAGCAGGCCCACGAGCUCGCACGUUGUGGUAGCACAGGACGCUGGGGACAGGGACGAAGGGCGGCUUCGAAGAAGAGACGUGGGCUGCCAGGGAAUGCCCAGAGUGCGGGCUGAUAGAAGGAGGCACCCACCGGGCACCGGAUGAAGAUCAGAGAAGAACGAGCAUGAGUCCGGCGAUCCGAGGCUGCGCGUGGGAGGCCGGGCAGAGGCCGCGGAGCGCCGUGGGCAGGCGGCCGUCCUCGGCGAGGGGCUCUGCCGGUCUCCGGCCGCCCCGACCGCGGGUGACGGCGGCGGGCACAGCUGUUUCCACCCCGCUGGGGAGCGCGAGGGGAAAAGCAUCCCGGCGGUGGCCAGGGAGCCGAGCGGCAGGCAUCCUCGCGUAGGGGCGCGGAGCGGAGCCCCCACCGCGAAGCGCACGACGAACUUCGCCCUUUCUUCCCCCUAAGCCGCCUUUAUGCCACAACUUCGCGGCCGCUACUGUCCGCGGCCACCGGCCGACACCCCCGCUCGGCUCGCCGCCAGGCGAUCCCCCGACGCCCCGAGGUCAGGGAAGGUCGCCCGGAGCCAGGCCCAGAGGUCUCGGACGCCGACCCCGCGCAGACGCUCACCUCGUCUCGAUGGCCCCCUCGCCCUCCCCGCUGCAGCAGCUCCGCUCACCUGCAUUGACGCCAUGAUGAAACCAUCCCCCCAAGGCCAGCGAGGCCCGAGACGCAGGGGGCGGAGCCGCCGUGCUCGCGUCACGCCGCGGGGGCCCAACAUCCCGGGCACGGGGGUGGAGUCGCCGAUGGGAAGGGGCCCGCGUGUCCGAUUGGCUAGCGCGCGGGUGCCCGGGGCGGGGCGGGGCGGGGCCAGGCCGGGCUCCCUAGGUACCUUGCAUCCCAGCCAAUUUAUACGCGGGCCCACCCUCAGUGCUGGCGGAGGCGCUGCUCCAGGUCGGACUGAAGCGUUAUGCCGAGGUCACAAUGCUGUCCGGGCAUUUGGCAGGGAGGGGAUCUCAUUUUGUUUUUCCAGCUACAAGUGUAAGAUUUACAGCCCACCCCCUUCAUAUGUCUUUUUUACACCUACCGUGUUUUCGCUCCUGAGGCAGAUACAACUUCGCCUGGAGAUGCUUUCUGGUAUUUGCAGACCUAGGAAGCUUCUACUUUGAGGGGCAGAGAGUCACAGGUUUCCCUAUAGGACAGAAUGAAAACUGAGAGCAGUGAUCUUAAAAGCAAGAACAAUUGGAUUUGAAACGUGCUGGAAAGGGAAGGAGGGUGAAUAAUGGAGUUCCCUUUUGUGUGCAAUUUUCUAGUUCCCUAACCCUCUAAAUUGUAAAGUCCAGGUAUACCAUAAGAGUCGUUGUUACAUCAGUCUUACUUUUGAUUAACAAUUUGACUCUAGCCGUGAAAUCUCAAUAUAAUGAAUAUAGUUUACGUAAUUUAAUACUUAAUACUUAAUACUUAAACCUUCUGCCAUGCCUAGAUUUCUCUUCACCCUAUUCUGUGGUGGGCAGUUGCAUGAUCAGACGACCUAUGAGUGAGCUUGAGUAGAAAUCGCUGAGCAUACAGAAUUUAUUCUAGGAAUGCACCAGUUCUGCCAGCAUUUAUCAGAAGUCACAUUUUUAAAGCUCCUCCGGAACCAAAGAUGUCGUUUACUUAAAUACCAAACGAAAAAUGGAAGCCAAAAGCUUGCACCUCAUGUCCUGUCUCUAAAGGAAUCAGAGAGGAUGGCAUGUUGAGUAGAAGGCUUUUACUUUACCCGGAUGAAAGUUUAAAUCUUUAUUUUUAUUGACUUGGCUUCAUUUUUAGACAUUUCUCUAAAAUAUAAAUAUAAUGGUGAUGUAGGUUAUCACUCUCACACUUAAGCUAGAGCACGAUGUUCCUCUGAGAACAUCCGUAAGGAAAUGUGUUCAAGAGAGGAAAAGAUGUCUAAAUCUGCCAGUUUUUCUGUGGUGUAAUAUUCAAGACGGUUUCUCUUCACCAUGGAGGAACUUUUCCAUGGGGUUUGCAUGACUUGGAGUACAGGACUCAACCAGAAGCAUAUCCGCUAUCAGUUCAGGUAUGUCGUUACCAUCACAACAUGGAACAAAGUGCCCACAUAGCCCAGUGAUGAGGUACGCUUACAGGAAAGAGUCUCCACCAGGCCUUCCAGAGAUCUUUGUCCCUGUGAUCUCAGGCUGUAAUGUACCAGCUAAUGUUCAUGUUGUUUUAAAAGUUGAUUCUUCUCAAAGGUGUAAAUGACAAAGGAGACUCUACAAACAUGGCAUUAUGACCUCAUCAAAGUAAAUGGCCUACUAGACAAGGUACUCAGAAGGAAGAAAAGCAAUUACACCUUGGUGUUGCUUACAGUAGAACUAAUGUCAGGUUUCCACCUCACAGGUGUCCAAGGGAUCUUCACGGGAGGCAAAGUCACAUCCUAGGAAAUUCUAAGCAGCUCAUAACUACCUAUCGUCUUUAUUCUUUAAUUAAUACAUAAUAGGGUCUGGGGUGUAUAGUUCACUGGGAAAACCUGUGGUUAACAUGUAGGAGAUCCUGGAUUUGAUCUCUGAGUACGGAAAGCAAAACAAAAGGCAAAAAUAUAUAACAGACUGUUCGCCGACAUACUCAGGAGCAAGGAGUGAUGUAGAGGCUAUUUUCAGUGAGAAUAAGUGUUCCUAAAGCUCUUGACUGCCCGUUAUUUGAUGGAGAUACUCACAUUUUUUUCCCAGAACAUGGCUUAUUAGUGGAUAUGGCCCCUUAAAGUGGGAUACUACGAAAAGGGGAAGUGGAAGUGAAUCCCCAACAAUAGGGAAGGAAUUGACACAACCAUGUUAGAAAAAGGCUCAGCCAUGAUGAAGUAAAAGUUAGAAAAUCUUUUAAAAAGCAGUAUUUUUGAUAAAACAUAAGUAGCACAAAAUGUAAUGUUAAUUCCACUUAGCAAUUCAAACGAAUUGUAAAAUACAUCUUUGGGACAACUGGAGCCAAGUAAAAGUAGAAUGAAUA